UACGUAGGGUGCGAGCGUUGUCCGGAAUUAUUGGGCGUAAAGAGCUCGUAGGCGGCUUGUUGCGUCGACCGUGAAAACCCGGGGCUCAACUUCGGGCUCGCGGUCGAUACGGGCGGGCUAGAGUUCGGUAGGGGAGACUGGAAUUCCUGGUGUAGCGGUGAAAUGCGCAGAUAUCAGGAGGAACACCGGUGGCGAAGGCGGGUCUCUGGGCCGAUACUGACGCUGAGGAGCGAAAGCGUGGGGAGCGAACAGG
rnacentral:rRNA from 1 species